UACGUAGGGGGCAAGCGUUGUCCGGAUUUAUUGGGCGUAAAGAGCGUGUAGGCGGCUUGGUAGGUCCGCUGUGAAAACUCGAGGCUCAACCUCGAGACGUCGGUGGAAACCGUUUGGCUAGAGUCCGGAAGAGGAGAGUGGAAUUCCCGGUGUAGCGGUGAAAUGCGCAGAUAUCGGGAAGAACACCCGUGGCGAAGGCGGCUCUCUGGGACGGUACUGACGCUGAGACGCGAAAGCGUGGGGAGCGAACAGG
rnacentral:rRNA from 1 species